rnacentral:tRNA from 1 species
AGGGGUGUAGCCAAGCGGCUAAAGGCAAUAGGCUUUGACCCUAUCAUACGGUAGUUCGAAUCUACCCACCCCUGCCA